CGCACGGGUGAGUAACACGUAUGGAACCUGCCCUAUGCAGGGGGAUAAGCGGAAGAAAUUCCGUCUAAUACCGCAUAACACCUUCAGGAGACAUCUUCUUGGGGUCAAAGGAGGCGACUCCGGCAUAGGAUGGCCAUGCGUCGCAUUAGCUAGUCGGCGGGGUAACGGCCCACCGAGGCGACGAUGCGUAGGGGUUCUGAGAGGAAGGUCCCCCACACUGGUACUGAGACACGGACCAGACUCCUACGGGAGGCAGCAG
rnacentral:rRNA from 1 species